rnacentral:rRNA from 1 species
AAUUUUGGACAAUGGGGGCAACCCUGAUGCAGCAACGCCGCGUGAGCGAUGAAGGCCUUCGGGUCGUAGAGCUCUGUCCUAAGGGAAGAUAAUGACGGUACCUUAGGAGGAAGCCCCGGCCAACUACGUGCCAGCAGCCGCGGUAAUACGUAGGGGGCAAGCGUUAUCCGGAAUCAUUGGGCGUAAAGGGUGCGUAGGCUGCCCUAUAGGUCAGUGGUCAAAGGCUACGGCUCAACCGUAGUAAGCCUUUGAAACUGUAGGGCUUGAGUGCAGGAGAGGAGAGUGGAAUUCCUAGUGUAGCGGUGAAAUGCGUAGAUAUUAGGAGGAACACCAGUGGCGAAGGCGACUCUCUGGACUGCAACUGACGCUGAGGCACGAAAGCGUGGGGAUCAAACA